GCGCCCGUAGCUCAGUGGAUAGAGCGUUCGCCUCCGGAGCGAAAAGUCGCAAGUUCGAAUCUUGCCGGGCGCG
rnacentral:tRNA from 1 species